rnacentral:rRNA from 1 species
GUUGAACGCUGGCGGCGUGCUUAACACAUGCAAGUCGAACGGAAAGGCUCCUGCUUGUAGGGGUUCUCGAGUGGCGAACGGGUGAGUAACACGUGGGUGAUCUGCCCUGCACUUCGGGAUAAGACUGGGAAACUGGGUCUACUACCGGCUCGGACCAUGGCUUGGCUGCCAUUGUGGAACGUUUUUCGGCGUGGGAUGAGAUCGCGGCCUAUGAGCUUGUUGGUGGGGUAAUGGCCUACCAAGGCGUCGCCGGGUAGCCGGCCUGGGAGGGUGGACAGGCACCAUGGGACUAAGGGACGGCGCAGAGUCGAACGGUGGGCAGCGGGGGGGAAUAUGGCACAGUGGGGGCAAGCCUGAUACGAAGGCGCUGGGGUGGGGAUGACGGCCUUCGGGUUGUAAACGCCUUGCGCUUGGGACGAAGCGCAAGUGACGGUACCUGGAGAAGAAGCACCGGCUAACUACGUG